CGAGGUUCGACGAAGUUGGUAUACAUUCCACAGCUUAGCAGACUCCACGAGGAAAUGGUCAAACUUUCGGAAGAUGUCCAUCAUUCUUUUGUGAGCACAGCAGCAGUGAUGCUUCUUCUGUUGGUGCAGUCAGGAGCUGCAGCGAUCACACUCAGGCCCAACACCCGCAUGGAGUUCGCCUCCUU
rnacentral:lncRNA from 1 species